UGACGGUACCUGUAGAAGAAGCACCGGCUAACUACGUGCCAGCAGCCGCGGUAAUACGUAGGGUGCGAGCGUUGUCCGGAAUUACUGGGCGUAAAGAGCUUGUAGGCGGUCUGUCACGUCGGUCGUGAAAACUCACAGCUCAACUGUGGGCCUGCGGUCGAUACGGGCAGACUAGAGUACUUCAGGGGAGACUGGAAUUCCUGGUGUAGCGGUGAAAUGCGCAGAUAUCAGGAGGAACACCGGUGGCGAAGGCGGGUCUCUGGGAAGUAACUGACGCUGAGAAGCGAAAGCGUGGGUAGCGAACAGGAUUAGAUACCCUGGUAGUCCACGCCGUAAACGGUGGGUACUAGGUGUGGGUUUCCUUCCACGGGAUCCGUGCCGUAGCUAACGCAUUAAGUACCCCGCCUGGGGAGUACGGCCGCAAGGCUAAAACUCAAAGGAAUUGACGGGGGCCCGCACAAGCGGCGGAGCAUGUGGAUUAAUUCGAUGCAACGCGAAGAACCUUACCUGGGUUUGAC
rnacentral:rRNA from 1 species